rnacentral:rRNA from 1 species
GACGAACGCUGGCGGCGUGCUUAACACAUGCAAGUCGAACGGAAAGGCCCUGCUUUUGUGGGGUGCUCGAGUGGCGAACGGGUGAGUAACACGUGAGUAACCUGCCCUUGACUUUGGGAUAACUUCAGGAAACUGGGGCUAAUACCGGAUAGGAGCUCCUGCUGCAUGGUGGGGGUUGGAAAGUUUCGGCGGUUGGGGAUGGACUCGCGGCUUAUCAGCUUGUUGGUGGGGUAGUGGCUUACCAAGGCUUUGACGGGUAGCCGGCCUGAGAGGGUGACCGGCGACAUUGGGACUGAGAGACGGCCCAGACGCCAACGGGAGGCAGCAGGGGGGAAUAUUGCACAAUGGGCGGAAGCCUGAUGCAGCAACGCCGCGGGCGGGAUGACGGCCUGCGGGUUGUAAACCGCUUUCGCCUGUGACGAAGCGUGAGUGACGGUAAUGGGUAAAGAAGCACCGGCUAACUACGUG